UACGUAGGGGGCAAGCGUUGUCCGGAAUUAUUGGGCGUAAAGCGCGUGUAGGCGGUCCGGUAAGUCGGUUGUGAAAGUCCAGGGCUCAACCCUGGGAUGCCGAUCGAUACUGCCGGACUAGAGUCCGGAAGAGGCGAGUGGAAUUCCUGGUGUAGCGGUGAAAUGCGCAGAUAUCAGGAGGAACACCAAUUGCGAAGGCAGCUCGCUGGGACGUUACUGACACUGAGGCACGAAGGCCAGGGGAGCAAACGGG
rnacentral:rRNA from 1 species